rnacentral:snRNA from 1 species
ACUCUCCUUGGCAGCAUAUGUGCUGAACCGGAACAAUACACAGCAGAUUAGCGCGGCCCCUGUGCUGAGGAUGACACCCAAAUUCGUGAAACUUUCCACAUUUUU